rnacentral:rRNA from 1 species
GGGGAGUAUGGUCACAAGGCUGAAACUUAAAGGAAUUGACGGAAGGGCACACAAGGAGUGGAGCCUGCGGCUUAAUUUGACUCAACACGGGAAAACUUACCAAGACCGAACAUUAUGAGGAAUGACAGAUUAAGAGAUCUUUCAUGAUUUAAUGGUGAGUGGUGCAUGGCCGUUCUUAGUUGGUGGUAUGAAUUGUCAGGUUAAUUCCGGUAACGAACGAGACUGAAACCUAUUAAUUAGUUCUGUGCCUAUAAGACACAGGUGUUAGCAAUAACAGAUAGCGAUAUCACUUCUUAAAGGGACACAUUUCAAAUGUUCUUUGAUUAUCAAAAGUUGGAUUCUGUCCAACGUGAUAAACGAAGAAAAAAGAAACAGGAAGCAUUCAGCAAUAACAGGUCUGUGAUGCCCUUAGACAUCUUGGGCUGCACG